rnacentral:rRNA from 1 species
GCUUAACGCGAAGAACCUUACCAGGUCUUGACAUCCCAUUGACCACUAUGGAGACAUAGUUUCCCUUCGGGGACAACGGUGACAGGUGGUGCAUGGUUGUCGUCAGCUCGUGUCGUGAGAUGUUGGGUUAAGUCCCGCAACGAGCGCGACCCUUGUUCUUAGUUGCCAUCAUUUAGUUGGGCACUCUAAGGAGACUGCCGGUGACAAACCGGAGGAAGGUGGGAUGACGUCAAAUCAUCAUGCCCCUUAUGACCUGGGCUACACACGUGCUACAAUGGACGGUACAAACGGUUGCCAACCCGCGAGGGGGAGCUAAUCCGAUAAAACCGUUACUCAGUUCGGUAUUGUUAGGUUGCAACUCGCCUACAUGAAGCCGGAAUCGCUAGUAAUCGCGGAUCAGCAUGCCGCGGUGAAUACGUUCCCGGGUC